rnacentral:rRNA from 1 species
UUGACCUCGGAUCAGGUAGGAAUACCCGGGGAACUUAAGCAUAUCAAUAAGCGGAGGAAA